rnacentral:rRNA from 1 species
AUUGAACGCUGGCGGCAGGCAUAACACAUGCAAGUCUAGCGAGCGGCGGACGGGUGCGUAAUAUCUGGGAAACUGCCUGAUGGAGGGGGAUAACUACUGGAAACGGUAGCUCAUACCGCAUACCAUCAGAUGUGCCAAGAGGGGAGUAGCUAGUAGUGUGGGUAACGGCUCACCUAGGCGACGAUCCCUAGCUGGUCUUAGAGGAUGACCAGCCACCCUGGAAAUGAGACACGGUCCAGACUCCUACGGGAGUCAGCGGUGGGGAAUAUUGCACAAUGGGCGCAAGCCUGAUGCAGCCAUGCCGCGGGUGUGAAGAAGGCCUUCGGGUUGUAAAGCACUUUCAGCGGGGAGGCGUUGCCCGCAGAAGAAGCACCGGCUAACUCCGUGCCAGCAGCCGCGGUAAUUC